rnacentral:rRNA from 1 species
GACGGGGGGGGCAAGUGUUCUUCGGAAUGACUGGGCGUAAAGGGCACGUAGGCGGUUUGUCGCGUCUGCCGUGAAAGUCCGGGGCUCAACUCCGGAUCUGCGGUGGGUACGGGCAGACUAGAGUGAUGUAGGGGAGACUGGAAUUCCUGGUGUAGCGGUGAAAUGCGCAGAUAUCAGGAGGAACACCGAUGGCGAAGGCAGGUCUCUGGGCAUUAACUGACGCUGAGGAGCGAAAGCAUGGGGAGCGAACAGG